CAGUCGCCGCGGUAAGACAGAGGAUGCAAGCGUUAUCCGGAAUGAUUGGGCGUAAAGAGCUCGUAGGCGGUUUGUCGCGUCUGCUGUGAAAACUGGAGGCUCAACCUCCAGCCUGCAGUGGGUACGGGCAGACUAGAGUGCGGUAGGGGAGAUUGGAAUUCCUGGUGUAGCGGUGGAAUGCGCAGAUAUCAGGAGGAACACCGAUGGCGAAGGCAGAUCUCUGGGCCGUAACUGACGCUGAGGAGCGAAAGCAUGGGGAGCGAACAGGAUUAGAUACCCCUGUAGUCCCUGUCUCUUAUAC
rnacentral:rRNA from 1 species